CAGAAUUGUCCUAAGUCAAACCUCUUCAAAUUGGACCAAGCUAUAGAAAGAAUGCUAAUAUCCACAAUGUCUAAUAUAUAUAUAUAAUAUGACAAUAUAUUUCAUAAUGAAGCAAAUGAAGCAAAUUUGGUGUCGUAGAUGUUAAUAUAUUUUUAUAUAAACUCGGUUAAACUUAAUGAAGUUUUACUUAGGACAAACACAU
rnacentral:pre_miRNA from 1 species